UGUAACCUACCCUUUUCAGAGGCUAGUAUAGCCUCUAGAAGGGACAGUCAAUAAAUAGAGCUCCUGCUCCCUUGGCUGCUAAUCAUUAAAUGAGAGGGGACCCAGGGUCCAGCCCCUUCCAGUCACCCAGGUGCGUUGUUUGGGUUAGCCAUGGCUUCUCACCUGGUACUUUAUCACUGGUUCAGGCUGUGACCUAGCAAUCCCCAUACACAAGUAAAGGUUACAUUAAAAAGGCAUUAAAUCAAAAAUAAAAAUGCAGGUAGUAUUAGUCUACCUAUCCUUUUGUUAUCAUAGUUCGGUUUUUAGUUAGCUGUUAAUCACCAACAGUUUAAAAAAUAAAUAAAUCAGCCUUCACUUGGAGAAUAAACGUGGCCAUUUUCAGCUGAGACCAAUUUACUAAUCUGGUUGUAGCUGAUGCAAGCACUUCUGCAGGUGGUUUACUCUCAAGCACAUAUAGCCAAAGAGAGCAGGUACAAAAAUGAACAUUGUGUAAUGUGCUUUAUAAGAUGUAGUAACUUAACAUGAAGAAGACUCUGGUGAAACAUCUGAAUCAGCAGGAGAGUUAGAAGAAUGACUGAGAUGGGUCUUACCCAUGUGCCAUCUUUGCAAAAGAUGCUAGGAGCACUUUGUUUCAGAAAGCAAAGAUUCGGGACGUGCCUCAGAAGCUCUGUGAAGAAAAGCCUUCCUUCCCUCACAUCCCUGAUGGAAAUAAUUGCAUGAUUUCAAAAUCUACUGCACUCCUGAGCAGGAAUAAUCUCUGAAGUAUGCUAUGCAUGUGUGUCAGUCCAGAUGGCACAUGACACACUGACAAAAAGGGCCAACUAAAGGAAAUGUGAAGUGGGUUUGUGUCUACUGAGAAAGAGCCUGCUUCAGCCACAGCACAUUGAGAUGCCAUGUGUGCAGGAGGAGAGUGGGGCAUUGCUUGCAUUCUUUAAGGCAAGCACGUGGAUCUUAAGUGCUUUGUGGGACCCAAGCCUAAACUAAUAGCAUUGUAUUUCUUGUUCACCGAGAACAAAAGCAAACUGGUUUGGGAUCACUAUGACCUAGAUGAUAUCAGAGGUUAGCAAAAAUGACAGGUCAGACCUGUCAGGAUGAAACAGCUGCAUCAAGCAGU